rnacentral:lncRNA from 1 species
GCCAAUGGGGGAAGUUUGUGCUGGGUUUGGUUUUUUUUUUUUUUUUUUCUUUCCAUUUUUUUUAGGCUUUGUAUCACAAAUGGUCCCUAAAGUUGGUGAAAUUAUCGCAUUUCGUCGUUAAUGUUUUUUUUGUGACACUAAUGAUCCCUAAGGUUAUCCUCCGCACAUCAAAAUGGUUCAUGCCGUCAACUUCCGUCAAAAUUUCUGUUAAAAUGUUGAUAUGGCACAUAUAUGGGCUACACAUCCAAUAAUAUAGAGCCACAUGGUAUUAAAUAAUAUAUUUAAAAUAAAAUUACAUUUCUAAGAAAUCCUUCCCUCUUCCCACUCAAUUUAAAAAAAAAAACAAGAAGAAAAAACCAACACAAUUUCAAAUUUUAAAGCAUGUACACAGUAAUCACAAAAGCUUCAUCUCUCUCAGCAUCUCUGACUAAAAAAGAAAAAAAAAAAAAAAAAAAAUCCAACCAUCAUAGAUUCACAGCCACUUCCUCCACCCCUUCAUACCAACUAAACCCUUCCCCAACUAUCGAAACCAAUUAUGCCCUUGCAUCAGAUCCAUUUACUUGCCUGACCAUCACCAACGAAUUUGAGGAGAUAGAGAGAGAGAUAGGCGGGU